ensembl:snoRNA SNORA72 Small nucleolar RNA SNORA72
CUGAGAAUAUUCUCACUCUUCUGGUUUUGUAAUAAUCAGGACAGGCUAAACAUUCGCUAUACUAAGACCAUGCAUGUGUCCCCAGAACUAGGUCUUUUCCCUAGGCCUGGUUUUAUAAAUGCUGGUAAUAAAC